rnacentral:misc_RNA from 1 species
CAACCAUCAAGCCCAAGCUUGGUAUUAGAUGUCACCUGUUGGUGUAUCUCAAAAUUAGUGGUGGUGCCAUUGAGUUUCAAGCGUAGUAAAUUUCUCGCUUCUGGAGUUCAGUGGUGCCUGCCUGAACCCCCUUAUUUUAAAGGU